GGGGCUGGCCUGGUAGAAUAAAAGUUAAGUUUGCGUGCUCCACUUCUGUGGCCCAGGGUUCGCAGAUUCGGAUCCAAGGCGUGGACCUAGCACCACUUGUCGAGCCACACUGUGGCAGUAUCCCACAAAAAAUAGAGGCAGAUUGGCACAGAUGUCAGCUCAGGGAGAAUCUCCCUCAAGAAAUAAAGAGGAGGAUUGGCAAAAGACGUUAGCUCAGGGCCAAUCUCCCUCACCAAAAAAAUUAAAUAAAUAAAUUAAUGCUUCUUUUAAAAAGGUGGUUUUAUAGACUUUGGCUUCCUUAAUUCUCACAACAGUUCUGAAAACAUAGUUCUUUUCUGUCUAGCUACACUACCUCCAGAACUUCUUUUACAGUAACUCAGUAAAGAUGUUUCCUUUAUUUUUCCAAUUUUUGUACCUAUCUCUAAGUCUUUCCGUAAUUAUAGGCACAAAUAAACUUUCCACCCUUUACUACUAAAUUAAAUGGUUAUCUUUUCAUAAAACUAAUGUCAUUUCAACUUUGUGGCUUUUUUUCACCAAUAAUGACAAUAAUCUCUGUUAUAUAACAAAAUAUUUCCUUAAAAAAAUCAAUGAAGUUGCAAAGAACAUAUUAAAGGCUGCAAUACUGUCCCAUUCUCCCUGCCAUUGUCCCAAAUCACUCUUCUGGCAGCAAAACUGUCAGGCACAGCAUGACAUCUACUAAAAAUGAGUUCAACCCAGCAUCUUGUCAGAUGUGGUCCAUGUUUUGUGUUCUCUGAUCUUCUAAAAAGAACAAACAAACCCGGAGCGUAGGAAGGUAUUUAGAUGGCUUCUAGGGAAGCUGUCAUUUCCACUGUAGUUUUCUUCUUUACUGCAGAGAGGCUGAUACUAAAAAUUGCUGGAAGAAAAAAGAAAAAUAAAAUAGCAUCACCAGCAUGUUGAUGAACGUCAAGUAGAGGAUGAUACUGGACCACAAAGUAAACAUGACUGUUGCUACAGAUACAAAAUGGGAAGAAGGAACAAGCUAUACUCAGCAUUGGACAUGUGGUUGGCCAUACAAUAUGCAUGCCAUAUGCCACCACUGAGAACUAUGGACAACGAGACAGUCUCCGGUUUGGUAAAUCUUGAUUUUUUGAGGCAAUAAGAAUAUUUGUUUUCAAGCAUUUGAUAAGAGAGAAGACUUGAAAUUUAGUGGAGUAAUAAAGGGAAAAAAAUCUGUGAAAAACCA
rnacentral:lncRNA from 1 species